UGGGGAAUUUUGGACAAUGGGCGAAAGCCUGAUCUAGCAAUGCCGCGUGUGUGAAGAAGGCCUUCGGGUUGUAAAGCACUUUUGUCCGGAAAGAAAUGGCUCUGGUUAAUACCUGGGGUCGAUGACGGUACCGGAAGAAUAAGGACCGGCUAACUACGUGCCAGCAGCCGCGGUAAUACGUAGGGUCCAAGCGUUAAUCGGAAUUACUGGGCGUAAAGCGUGCGCAGGCGGUUGUGCAAGACCGAUGUGAAAUCCCCGAGCUUAACUUGGGAAUUGCAUUGGUGACUGCACGGCUAGAGUGUGUCAGAGGGGGGUAGAAUUCCACGUGUAGCAGUGAAAUGCGUAGAGAUGUGGAGGAAUACCGAUGGCGAAGGCAGCCCCCUGGGAUAACACUGACGCUCAUGCACGAAAGCGUGGGGAGCAAACAGGAUUAGAUACCCUGGUAGUCCACGCCCUAAACGAUGUCAACUAGUUGUUGGGGAUUCAUUUCCUUAGUAACGUAGCUAACGCGUGAAGUUGACCGCCUGGGGAGUACGGUCGCAAGAUUAAAAGCUC
rnacentral:rRNA from 1 species